CUGAGCAGAAAGCAAAGUAGAGGCCUGAGUUUCCCUUUCAGCAGGGAGCCAGUUGCCAUGGUGAGGCAGAAGCCUUCUCCAGACUCCAAGAGCAGAGUGGUUCUGAUUGGUUCCAAUAGGCCUGGCACUCCAGGAUUAGAGCUGCAGUCUAUCCAGUCACAGGCUCCAGGCAUCCAGCUCCAAGGGCGGUCGGGCGGGGCCGUGCCUCCUCCGCCUCAACAGUUGUCUCCCAGAGAUGGGGUCCCUGAUAGAUUGCCCAUGCUCCUGCAGACAGCCUCAUACCCGUGCACAUACUGGCAUCACUAAUUACUCCGUGGGUUAAAAGAAACUCGGGCUUGAUGCUUGGAACAUGCUCCUCUCUUGGUCCACUUGCCCUCUCUCCUCUUCCCUGUCUCUUUUCUCUUCCUCUCUCACAGACCACCCUCCCUCCUCAUGGCCUGCUUCUAUCUGAACGCUUUAUGCUUUCAGAUGCCCCUGGCUGCACCUUCCUCAUAUCUACAAUAAAAUUCUUUUCCUCAUCUACACCUUGCCGUGGUCUUCUCCUCAUUUCAUUCAGUGUUGAACACGUGUAAUCCCCAAACUGAGGAGGCAGAGGCAGGAGCAUUGUUGAGAGAUCCUAUUUGAAACACAACCAAACUCUCUACGUGUAGCUAAGUGGUAGGACACUUGCGUAGCAUGCACCAUGUGCUGGGAUUGAGAGCACCAGCAGUGAGCAAGAAAGAAGAAAAGAGAGAGAAAGAAAACAAGGGAGAGAAAAGAGAGAGAGGAGGGGAAACUUCUACCAUACAGGCU